rfam:Schistosoma rodhaini strain Burundi genome assembly, scaffold: SROB_scaffold0000004
AUCCACCUGACGAGUCCCAAAUAGGACCAAACUCGCGUCAUGGAU